rnacentral:tRNA from 1 species
CGGGUCGCCCUUGUGGUGCCGCCUGCUUUGGGAGCAGGGGGCCGCGGGUUCAAAUCCCGCCAGCCCGA